rnacentral:rRNA from 1 species
GACGAACGCUGGCGGCGUGCCUAAUACAUGCAAGUUGAGCGCUGAAGGUUGGUACUUGUACCAACUGGAUGAGCAGCGAACGGGUGAGUAACGCGUGGGGAAUCUGCCUUUGAGCGGGGGACAACAUUUGGAAACGAAUGCUAAUACCGCAUAAAAACUUUAAAAACAAGUUUUAAGUUUGAAAGAUGCAAUUGCAUCACUCAAAGAUGAUCCCGCGUUGUAUUAGCUAGUUGGUGAGGUAAAGGCUCACCAAGGCGAUGAUACAUAGCCGACCUGAGAGGGUGAUCGGCCACAUUGGGACUGAGACACGGCCCAAACGCCUACGGGAGGCAGCAGUAGGGAAUCUUCGGCAAUGGACGAAAGUCUGACCGAGCAACGCCGCGUGAGUGAAGAAGGUUUUCGGAUCGUAAAACUCUGUUGGUAGAGAAGAACGUUGGUGAGAGUGGAAAGCUCAUCAAGUGACGGUAACUACCCAGAAAGGGACGGCUAACUACGUG